AUUGAACGCUGGCGGCAUGCCUAACACAUGCAAGUCGAGCGGAGCGGUGAACGGGUGAGUAUUGCCUAGGGAUCUGCAUGGGCGUGGGGGAUAACGUCGGGAAACGGACGCUAAUACCGCACACUCUGUCAUAGACCUAGGUCGGAUUAGGUAGGUGGUGGGUGAACGGCCAACCAAGGCGGUGACCCGUAACUGGUCUGGGAGGAUGAUCAGUCACACUGGAACUGAGACACGGUCCAGACUCCUACGGGUGGCAGACGUGGGGAAUAUUGGACAAUGGGCGAAAGCCGGAUCCAGCCAUGCCGCGUGUGUGAAGAAGGUCUUCGGAUUGUAAAGCACUUUAAGUUGGGAGGCGAUACCAACAGAAUAAGCACCGGCUAACUUCGUGCCAGCAGCCGCGGUAAUAC
rnacentral:rRNA from 1 species